rnacentral:rRNA from 1 species
AGGAUGAACGCUGGCGGCGUGCCUAACACAUGCAAGUCGAACGUCCUGUCUCGCAAGAGGCAGGGAGUGGCGGACGGGUGAGUACCACGUGGGUCAUCUACCGUGAGGUGAGGAAUACCGGCGAGAAAUCGCCGACAAGACCGCAUAGGCUCGAUGCAAGUCGAGCAAAGCUCUUUCGAGAGAGGGAGCGCCACACGAGGAGCCUGCGCCCGAUUAGCUAGCUGGUGGAGUAACGGUUCACCAGGGCGACGAUCGGUAGCUGGUCUGAGAGGACGAUCAGCCACACUGGGAUUGAGAACGGCCCAGACUCCUACGGGGGCAGCAGUGAGGAAUUUCGUCAAUGGGGGCAACCCUGAACGAGCAACGCCGCGUGCAGGAAGAAGGUUUUCGGAUCGUAAACUGCUUUUCUCGGGGAAGAGAACGGACGGUACCCGAGGAAUCAGCCCCGGCUAACUACGUGCCAGCAGCCGCGGU